rnacentral:rRNA from 1 species
UGGGGAAUAUUGCACAAUGGGCGAAAGCCUGAUGCAGCAACGCCGCGUGAGUGAUGAAGGCCUUAGGGUUGUAAAGAUCUGUCUUCUGGGACGAUAAUGACGGUACCAGAGGAGGAAGCCACGGCUAACUACGUGCCAGCAGCCGCGGUAAUACGUAGGUGGCAAGCGUUGUCCGGAUUUACUGGGCGUAAAGGAUGCGUAGGCGGAUACUUAAGUCAGAUGUGAAAAUCCCGGGCUUAACUUGGGAACUGCAUUUGAAACUGGGUAUCUAGAGUGCGGGAGAGGAAAGUGGAAUUCCUAGUGUAGCGGUGAAAUGCGUAGAGAUUAGGAAGAACACCAGUGGCGAAGGCGACUUUCUGGACCGUAACUGACGCUGAGGCAUGAAAGCGUGGGGAGCAAACA